CUUAAUUUUUUCUUAAAUUACAUCUCUGCCAUUCAGUCUGUUAUAAACACCCGCCGACAGUAGAAUGCUAGAACUCCAGAAGGUUCAGGUUUUUUCGCUCUCUCACUUCUCCUUAUCAACUUGACAGUGGUGCAGAUAUUUAGCAACGAUUAGAUACGCGGAAAGGAUUGAUUUCUAUGGCAAAGGGAUUGAUUUCCGUCUCAAAUCAAUAUUCCAUCUCUAACCUGCAUUUGAUCACUCGGCACGAGGUUAUUGAGCUUCCUCGAAGAGAGACAAAGCUCGAGCUUUCUGUAGAUGACGAUCUUCUUCAUUUUAAGAGAAUUAAGAUUGGGUAUCUGCACCUGAGGAUUCUAGAUUUGUAUAAUAAGUGGAUUGCUUCUUUUUUCUACAGUCGUGUAAGGAGGAUUGAGAGGUUUAGGGUCGAAGAGAUAGAGAGAAAUCGGAGGCAAGUUCUCACCUCAUCAUCUGAGAUCGGAGGCUUGGGUUCGUUUUGGAAGAGAUGUGUGCCAAGAUUGUGAUUGAGUUUAGGAGACGGGCUUUGGGAGCAAAAGAGAUCGAUCAGCUUCGGUCCAAUCUUGAAUCUCUAAUUGCCAGCCGGGUUCAAAUCUUUUUCAUUUGCUUCUGAGAUCAACAUCAGAGCAAACCCAGACUCGAUUACAGAAUUUAUCAGUUAAUUGUGCAGGCCAAAUAAAGGAGGUCGUUCUAAAGCACCAGUUAUAUAUACUGGAAAAAUCAUGUGCUUCACAAUACCAAUGACUACAAUUUUCUCAUUGUAUACACAUAUUUAUGACUUCGACCGAUAUAACAAGGAUGUUGGUGUUGCUCAGUUCACAACAAAAAAUUUUGUUGUUAGAAACUGCCUUCCAAAUGCCAAAUCAGAUAUAUGCUUUUAUCAGCAUGGAAUCCUCCACCUGAAGGGGGAAAGCAUGUACACUUCCUUUUGUGUUGCAUACUCAUUCUAUAGAAAUGAAAGAACCCUUUGAAGAUGAUAUUGUGUUAGCUCUGCUCAGCUGUUAAAAUAUGCUUAUAGCUACCGAAUGGUCUUAUGGAUAGUCCCUAAACCCAAGAUAGCGAACCAACAACUUCCACGCCAAAUCCUGUUAAGCUUGGGAAGAAGAGGAAUCUAGAUGGACUGCAGAAGGAAUUGUUCACACCAGAACCAAGCAAGAACCCAAGAAGGUAAGUUUUAAAAUCUUUGUUUGAUCAGUUCAACUAGGAAUAGCUUCAAUUUUGAUUUAGGAACCGUACUCAAUGUGUGCAGUCUCUUUUUCACUUAGUUUUUGCAUUUUAUCUUCUCUGUCCAUUCAAUUU